rnacentral:sRNA from 1 species
GAAAACAUAAAUUGAGCAAGCUCCUGAGGUUUCCAACUUAUCGUACAUAUAUCCAGAGUUGUGUUUUUUAAGAUAAAGCAUUGUUCUUGGUUUUAUUAUUUGUAUAAAAAUUUCCCAUUUAUUUUAUACCUAAAUAGUAGAUAAGGUUACUACAGGAUUAAAGAGUUUGACUCUGAAUUAAUGGGGCAUACACUUUGGGGUAAGGAUUUCUUUUUAUUCUUAUGAAAGUUACAGAUCAUACUUCAUACUAAAGUAAGUUUUGUAUUUCGUGUUUCCCAUUUUUAAACCUCUUUUGUUUUUACCACUUUAAAAUAUUAUACAUGUACAAACAUCUUUAAUAGAAUGCGGAGCUGCUUUCACCAGCAAACUUGAAGGAAUGUUUAAAGACAUGGAACUUUCUAAAGACAUCAUGAUUCAGUUCAAACAGUAUAUGCAGAAUCAGAAUGUUCCAGGAAAUAUUGAAUUAACUGUGAAUAUCCUGACAAUGGGCUAUUGGCCAACAUAUGUGCCUAUGGAAGUUCAUUUACCACCAGAGAUGGUAAAACUUCAGGAGAUUUUCAAGACAUUUUACCUAGGCAAACAUAGUGGCAGGAAACUUCAGUGGCAGUCAACCCUAGGACACUGUGUAUUAAAAGCAGAAUUUAAAGAGGGUAAAAAGGAACUCCAGGUCUCUCUUUUUCAAACACUGGUGCUGCUAAUGUUUAAUGAGGGAGAAGAGUUCAGUUUAGAAGAGAUCAAGCAGGCAACUGGAAUAGAGGAUGGAGAGUUAAGGAGAACACUGCAGUCAUUAGCCUGUGGCAAAGCUAGAGUUCUGGCGAAAAAUCCAAAGGGCAAAGAUAUUGAAGAUGGUGACAAGUUCAUUUGUAAUGAUGAUUUCAAACAUAAACUUUUCAGGAUAAAGAUCAAUCAAAUCCAGAUGAAAGAAACGGUAUUUCUUUCACUUUCUCCUAGUCCUAACACACUGGAAUUAUACAUGUUAAUAAUCAAAAUAUAUAAAGAUUUUUAUACCUGUAA